AUUGAACGCUGGCGGCAUACCUUACACAUGCAAGUCGAACGGUAACAGGUCUUCGGAUGCUGACGAGUGGCGAACGGGUGAGUAAUACAUCGGAACGUGCCUAGUAGUGGGGGAUAACUACUCGAAAGAGUGGCUAAUACCGCAUGAGAUCUACGGAUGAAAGCAGGGGAUCGCAAGACCUUGUGCUACUAGAGCGGCCGAUGGCAGAUGAGGUAGUUGGUGGGAUAAAAGCUUACCAAGCCGACGAUCUGUAGCUGGUCUGAGAGGACGGUCAGCCACACUGGGACUGAGACGCGGCCCAGACUCCGACGGGAGGCAGCAGUGGGGAAUUUUGGACAAGGGGCGAAAGCCUGAUCCAGCAAUGCCGCGUGCAGGAUGAAGGCCUUCGGGUUGUAAACUGCUUUUGUACGGAACGAAAAGCCCCGGGUUAAUACCCUGGGGUCAUGACGGUACCGUAAGAAUAAGCACCGGCUAACUACGUGCCAGCCGCCGCCGUAA
rnacentral:rRNA from 1 species